rnacentral:rRNA from 1 species
UACGUAGGCAGCAAGCGUUGUUCGGAAUUACUGGGCGUAAAGAGUGUGUAGGCGGUGCUCUAAGUCUGUUGUGAAAUCUCCCGGCUUAACUGGGAGGGUGCGGCGGAGACUGGAGCGCUAGAGUGUGGGAGAGGUAAGCGGAAUUCCUGGUGUAGCGGUGAAAUGCGUAGAUAUCAGGAAGAACACCGGUGGCGAAGGCGGCUCUCUGGGCCUUACCUGACGCUGAGGAGCGAAAGCGUGGGUAGCGAACAGG